rnacentral:rRNA from 1 species
GUUGACCUCGGAUCAGGUAGGAAUACCCGCUGAACUUAAGCAUAUCAAUAAGCGGAGGAAAUAA